rnacentral:rRNA from 1 species
UGCUCAGGAUGAACGCUGGCGGCGUGCCUAACACAUGCAAGUCGAACGAAGUCUUCGGACUUAGUGGCGGACGGGUGAGUAACGCGUGAGAACCUGCCUCGAGGAGGGGGAUAACAGCGGGAAACUGCUGCUAAUACCCCAUAUGCCGAAAGGUGAAAAGAAAUUUGCCUUGAGAGGGGCUCGCGUCCGAUUAGCUAGUUGGUGAGGUAAGAGCUUACCAAGGCGACGAUCGGUAGCUGGUCUGAGAGGAUGAGCAGCCACACUGGGACUGAGACACGGCCCAGACUCCUACGGGAGGCAGCAGUGGGGAAUUUUCCGCAAUGGGCGAAAGCCUGACGGAGCAACGCCGCGUGGGGGAAGAAGGCCUUUGGGUUGUAAACUCCUUUUCUCAGGGAAGAAGAACUGACGGUACCUGAGGAAUCAGCCUCGGCUAACUCCGUGCCAGCAGCCGCGGUAAUACGGAGGAGGCAAGCGUUAUCCGGAAUUAUUGGGCGUAAAGCGUUCGUAGGCGGCGUUUCAAGUCUGCUGUCAAAGGCCGAGGCUCAACUUCGGAAAGGCAGUGGAAACUGAAAAGCUAGAGGUCGGUAGGGGCAGAGGGAAUUCCCAGUGUAGCGGUGAAAUGCGUAGAUAUUGGGAAGAACACCGGUGGCGAAAGCGCUCUGCUGGGCCGAACCUGACGCUGAGGGACGAAAGCUAGGGGAGCGAAUGGGAUUAGAUACCCCAGUAGUCCUAGCCGUAAACGAUGGAGACUAGGUGUUGCCUGUAUCGACCCGAGCG